rnacentral:rRNA from 1 species
UGAGGAAUAUUGGUCAAUGGGCGGAAGCCUGAACCAGCCAUGCCGCGUGCAGGAAGACGGCCCUACGGGUUGUAAACUGCUUUUCCGGGGGAAGAAUAAGGCCCACGUGUGGGCCGAUGCCGGUACCCCGGGAAUAAGGAUCGGCUAACUCCGUGCCAGCAGCCGCGGUAAUACGGAGGAUCCGAGCGUUAUCCGGAUUUACUGGGUUUAAAGGGUGCGUAGGCGGGCGCUUAAGUCAGCGGUGAAAUGCGGGGGCUCAACCUUCGAACGGCCGUUGAUACUGGGCGCCUUGGAUUCGGUCGAGGCGGGCGGAAUGCGUGGUGUAGCGGUGAAAUGCUUAGAUAUCACGCAGAACGCCGAUUGCGAAGGCAGCUCGCCGGGCCGAUAUUGACGCUGAGGCACGAAAGCGUGGGGAUCGAACA